GGUUAACGCUGGCGGCGUGCCUAACACAUGCAAGUCGAACGGUUCUAAGCGCGAGCUUAGGAUAGUGGCGAACGGGUGAGUAAAAGGUAGGAAUCUACCCCUUGGACGGAGAUAGCUACUGGAAACGGUAGGUAAACUUCGAUAAGCCCGAGAGGGGAAAGUGGUGAGACAGCCGAGGGAUGAGCCUACUCUCCAUCAGGUAGUUGGUGAGAUAAAAGCUUACCAAGCCGAUGACGGAUAACCGGUGUGAGAGCAUGAACGGUCACAAGGGCACUGAGAGACGGGCCCUACUCCUACGGGAGGCAGCAGUGGGGAAUCUUGGACAAUGGGCGAAAGCCUGAUCCAGCGACGCCGCGUGGAGGAAGAAGUCCUUCGGGAUGUAAACUUCUGAACUAGCCGAAUAAAAGGACCUGUGGACACACAGGAGAAGAAAGUAGGCUAGGAAAAGUACCCGGACUAACUAACGUG
rnacentral:rRNA from 1 species